GGUAACCUACCUAUAAGACUGGGAUAACUCCGGGAAACCGGGGCUAAUACCGGAUAAUAUUUUGAACCGCAUGGUUCAAUAGUGAAAGACGGUUUCGGCUGUCACUUAUAGAUGGACCCGCGCCGUAUUAGCUAGUUGGUAAGGUAACGGCUUACCAAGGCGACGAUACGUAGCCGACCUGAGAGGGUGAUCGGCCACACUGGAACUGAGACACGGUCCAGACUCCUACGGGAGGCAGCAGUAGGGAAUCUUCCGCAAUGGGCGAAAGCCUGACGGAGCAACGCCGCGUGAGUGAUGAAGGUCUUCGGAUCGUAAAACUCUGUUGUUAGGGAAGAACAAAUUUGUUAGUAACUGAACAAGUCUUGACGGUACCUAACCAGAAAGCCACGGCUAACUACGUGCCAGCAGCCGCGGUAAUACGUAGGUGGCAAGCGUUAUCCGGAAUUAUUGGGCGUAAAGCGCGCGUAGGCGGUUUCUUAAGUCUGAUGUGAAAGCCCACGGCUCAACCGUGGAGGGUCAUUGGAAACUGGGAAACUUGAGUGCAGAAGAGGAGAGUGGAAUUCCAUGUGUAGCGGUGAAAUGCGCAGAGAUAUGGAGGAACACCAGUGGCGAAGGCGGCUCUCUGGUCUGUAACUGACGCUGAUGUGCGAAAGCGUGGGGAUCAAACAGGAUUAGAUACCCUGGUAGUCCACGCCGUAAACGAUGAGUGCUAAGUGUUAAGGGGGUUUCCGCCCCCUUAGUGCUGCAGCUAACGCAUUAAGCACUCCGCCCGGGGGAGUACGACCGCCAAGGUUGAAACUCAAAAGGAAUUGACGGGGGACCCGCCCCAACCGGUGGAAGCAUGGUGGUUUUAUUUCGAAAGCAACGCCGAAGAAACCUUUACCAAAAUCUUGGACAUCCCUUUUGACCGCUCCUAAAAAAUAAAAUUCUUUCCCCUUCCGGGGGAAAAAAUUGAACAGGUGGGUGGCAAGGGUUUGUCGUUCACCUCCCUGUUCCUGGAAAAUGUUUGGGGUUUAAGUUCCCCGCCACCCAACCGCCAACCCCUUUAAG
rnacentral:rRNA from 2 species